GCGCUCGUAGCUCAGGGGAUAGAGCACCAGCCUCCGGCGCUGGGGGUCGCAAGUUCGAAUCUUGCCGGGCGCACCA
rnacentral:tRNA from 1 species